UGGUUAAUUACUUAAAUUUAGCUUUGCUGAUUUACUUGGUGACAGAUAUUUUGCGAUAAGUUUCUGGGUAACGGCAAACAAAUAACCCAGAUAAACAUUUCAUGAUAAUAUGGAUGGCAGGAGUUGUUGACUAGGUUGGCAGACUGCGUCUGUGUGGUAAAGGGUAAAGCAAAAUCUAUACUGAGAUCACU